GUGCAUCUCACGAAGAAUCAAUUGGCAAGCAUAUAUAGACAGACCACAACACAGAGUUGCAAUUUUCCAAUAAUGGAUGGACCAGGAAACGAACAGGGUCAACAGCCAAGAGGAGGAGGAAGAAGAGGAGCAAGGAUGCGUGGUGGAAGGCAAAACAAAGACAUAAGGGCCACUAUUGUAGACCAUGUUGUCAAUCAUGGCCUUACAAUGGCUGAGGCGGGUCGAAGGGUGCAGCCGAAUAUUGGGAGAUCUACCGUGUCCUCAAUAGAUCAAACGUUUCGAAGAGAGAACAGGACUGCAAGAUUACCUCAAACCGGUGGCAGAGGACACCUUUUCACACCUCAACAGGAGGAGGCUGUUUGCACCAUGGUUCCGAGCAAACAAUGCCAUGAGACUCAGGGAAAUACAAAGGACCAUUAUAGAAGACAACGAUGUCUUUGAAAACAUCCAGACGGUUAGCAUCUCAACCAUCGACAGGGUGCUGCAUAGAAACCAGAUGAGUGUGAAGUUUUUACUAGAUUACUUGUAGUUUUUCAUGUUGUUUGUCUAAUUUUUGUAAUGACUUGGCGCUGCCUAUCUUGGCCAGGACGCUCUUGAAAAAGAGAUUAUAAAAUCUAGAUGAGCCUUUCCUGGUUAAAUAAAGGUUAAUAAAUAAAUAAAUGAAACAGCUGUACCGUGUACCAUUCCAAAGGAAUGAGGACAGAGUUAAGGAGCUACGGUACCAGUAUGUACAGCGUAUAAUGGAGUUGGAAUCAAGUGAACCCUCUCACAGCUUUGUCUACGUGGAUGAGGCUGGCUUCAACCUGACCAGAUGCAGGAGGCGGGGUCGGAAUAUCACCGGUCACAGAGCUACUGUGGAUUUGCCAGGCCAACGGGGAGGAAAUAUCACCAUGUGUGCUGCUAUUUCGGAAGCAUGGUGUCCUAACCCAUAUCCCCCCCUUAUAGGGCCAUACAACACCCAGCAUCUACUCAACUUUUUAGAGACUCUCUACAUGGCUCUCAUCCCCGAUGAUGAUGAGAGGGGUCUGUUUAGAGAUGUACUAAGGAUUUUUAGUGACUGACUAGCUUUAGAAACACAUCUAUUGUAUAUUGCAGUUUGUACAAAUUGUUCUGAGAAAUGCACUUAUUAUUUUGCACAUGUUAGGGAUGAUGUGAAAAAUGCACCAAAGCGACUGAGAAAAACUGUAACAGUGUGCAGUGUGUGUGUGUGUGUGUGUGUG